UACUGCUUCUGGCUCUGCCGAGAGGUGAAGUCAUUCUCAUUUCUUUGUGUUCGGAAGUAUCGCCUGCGGCUCGUUGAAAACUUAGCGCUAGACCUGCCUCUCGGAGACUUGCUCCCUCUGGAAAUGCCCAGCUGAGGAUGCGCGUGGCGCGUGUUGAAGCGCAGUGCCUGGGAGUUGGACACUUGUGGACAGAUGUAACCUUUUCCUGUGUUUCCUGACUGGGACACCAGCCGGGUAUUCUAGCUAACUUUGUAUAAGGUCCUGUGUUGACUACUGAGAAUGAAGCACUGAAGAAGACAGAAAGUCCCACCUUGAAGAGCUUCCAAGUGUAGUGAGUCUCCUGGCAUCAGGUAUGGCUGGUACCGUGGAAACGCUUGACUGACUGUGCAGGAGACGCUGGGUAGGAGGCAGAAGGCGAUGGCAGAAAUCGAGUUCAGGUGCAGGGGGCACUCCUGAGAGCAUUCCUGCUCUGUCCCCGUGGCCUGAGUGGCCUUGUCAGUUGCACAGACAUGCCUUCAUUUCAUAGGCUCAACACCUCUGCUUAACAUCAUAAUUAGAUUCAAGACCAAUUCAGUCAAGACGUCGUCACAGGUCACGUGGUCUUAUUAUCACAGCUGGGGCUUCAAGCCCACGUCAGCUUUUCCAGAACAGCAAGUGUGUUCACUCCGGCCGUGCCGUCCGGGCAAUGUCAUCAAGCCCACGUCAGCUUUUCCAGAACAGCAAGUGUAUUCAUUUCAGCCGUGCCGUCCGGGCAAUGUCAAACACGCCUCACAUUCUUGCCCAAGAAGCUGGUCUCUUAGGUUUCCUUGUUUUCUAUUAUUUCAGGGCCUGUGGGUGUGUCAAAUGUCUCCCAGAUUUUUUACCCUUUAAUUUGUUCAUAUUUACCUUAGAGGUCAGUUCCAACUGGAUCUGAUCCUAAUAUCUAAAAAUAGGACAUGAAGGGGUCAGAAUUACGGGCACAUGGAGGGAAAAUUGGAGAGGUUAGCACAAUCAGCUAGGUUUACCUGCUCAGAGGUAAAAGCAGAUUGUAUUUGCCAUUACUACUCAUAAAACUCUACCUUAGACAAUGAAGAAAGCAUCUCUUUAAAGUGCUUAUGUCUCUGAGGCUAAUAAAUAUAUUGGUCAGGGUGGCCAUUGAAAACCAGUUCAUCCUAGCAAAAAGAUUUUUACUUAUUAGUAGUCAAAGAGAAGGAAAAUCAGGUCCAUUAUUUCAACAUAAAUAAUGGGGAAUUACAAACAGUCUGGAGACCCUUAUGUGGACUUAGAAAUCUUAGCGUUGCAAAUAUUGGCUCAAAAUGAUGUUUUGCUAAAGUAUUAUGUCCCACUUUUUGAGGCUCAGCAUUCUAAAAUAAUCCUAUCAUGGGAGAAUUCCUAGGAGAGAAACUUAAGUCAUUAUAGGCACAGUGGAGGGCUGAGAACCCAAGGUCUUCUGUGAAGCAAUGAGUAUUUUUUGGUUGUUUAUGAAAACCAAUAAAAUAGCAUAGUGGUUAGAUUACAGAAUCAUUUCACAGGUCUUACAUUAGUGAAUACAGGAGGGUUGAUUUUCAUUUAUUACCCAAUAAUCACUAGAAAAUUUUCAGGAUCUUCUUCCACAGUUUAAAAAAUAUGACUGGAAUUAAUUUUGCUUUGAUACAGGCUUUAUGUGAACCAUAUCAAAUUUUAUUCUCUUUAAUUAGAUAUUGAAAUCUGUAUUGCCAUAGUGAUUUCACUGCUCUGCAGUGACGACUCCUCUCCUCUCUACUCGUCUGAUACCAUCUCCGGGUCAGAGAAACAGAGUAACAUGAACUCUGGAGGUGACUGAUGCUGGUCCAGCUGAAUAGCUGUUUUUCAGCUCCCUCCUCCGAUGGGGCCAGGUUGCUUCGGUUCCACCAUGGUGGCGGCAGGCUCUCCUGCCCAAGACACUGGAGUGCCGCGUGAAGGAGUGGGGACAACGUGCUUCUGUGUUUUCUCCCACUUUCAAUGUUCUGCUGCAAACACCUUCACUCUGACUCAUCCCCAUCCAUUCAAUGUCACUUGUCUUUUUUCUUCUCCAUCCAUUCAAUGUCACCUGCCCUUUUUCUUCUCCAUCCAUUCAAUGUCACCUGCCCUUUUUCUUCUCCAUCCAUUCAGUGUCACCUGCCCUUUUUCUUCUCCAUCCAUUCAGUGUCACUUGCCUUUUUUCUUCUCCACUUCCAUCUGGUUUCCUGGUUUUGCAAUGAUCUCAAUCAGUGACAAAAAUUGUGUCUAUGCUGAAAAUUAUAUUCCUGUGGUUGCAUAAAUUGUUUAUAAAAGCUGAGUCAUGUUUACUCGAGAUCUGUGGAAGAGA